GACGAACGCUGGCGGCGUGGAUUAGGCAUGCAAGUCGCGCGAUAUCUUACCUUCGGGUAAGUGAAAGCGGCGAACGGGUGAGUAACACGUGAAUAACCUGCCCUCACAUUCCGGGUAAUAGACCGAAAGGUCUUGUAAUACGGGCGAGGAUUUCUCUUAGGCAUCUUAGAGAAAGGGAAGGCGCAAGCCGUGCGAGGAGG
rnacentral:rRNA from 1 species